rfam:Arabidopsis lyrata subsp. lyrata unplaced genomic scaffold ARALYscaffold_1, whole genome shotgun sequence.
AAAUAAUGGGAAUAUUGCUGAUUUGGGUAUUAUUUGGCCCAAAACUUUCAAAAAUGGAACAUCUAUCAGGCCUUCAAAUUUGGGUAUUUUUGGAUCAGAGUAAAAGACAAUUUAGCCCCUGUCGACAAACUUCAUUCUUCCUGAUGAUUCAUGAUAACUCGACGGAUCGCAUGGCCUUUGUGCUGGCGACGCAUCAUUCAAAUUUCUGCCCUAUCAACUUUCGAUGGUAGGAUAGUGGCCUACCAUGGUGGUAACGGGUGACGGAGAAUUAGGGUUCUCCU